rnacentral:rRNA from 1 species
UGAACCACCCCAUAUAAGCACUAAGAAACAAAGACUAAACCUUGUACCUUUUGCAUCAUGAUUUAGCCAGCACCCUCAAGCAAAGAGACCUUUAGUUUGAAACCCCGAAACCAGGUGAGCUACCCCGAGACAGCCUAUAUUAUUUAGGGCUAACCCGUCUCUGUGGCAAAAGAGUGGGAAGAGCUCCGGGUAGAAGUGACAGACCUACCGAACCUGGUGAUAGCUGGUUGUCUGAGAAGUGGAUAGAAGUUCAGCCUCAUACGCCCCAGAUCAACAUGUAUAUUAUUAAGAUACUCAAGGGAAAUAUAUGAGAGUUAGUUGAAAGGGGUACAGCCCUUUUAACAAAGGAUACAACCUUUACAGGAGGAUAAAGAUCAUAAUAUAUAAAACAUACUGUUUUAGUGGGCCUAAAAGCAGCCACCUAAAUAGAAAGCGUUAAAGCUCAGACAGAAGGAAGUUUAUUAUACCGAUAAAAAAUCUUAUUCCCCUAAUUAUAUCAGAUCAACCCAUGCCCACAUGGAAGAGAUUAUGCUAGAAUGAGUAACAAGAAGACCUGCACUUCUCCUUGCACAAGUGUAAGCCAGAUCGGACAAACCACUGGAAUUUAACGAACCCAACCCAAGAGGGCAAUGUGAACAACAAAAAUAUCGAGAAGAAUUCACAAUUAAACUGAUCGUUAACCCCACACUGGAGUGCCAUUUUAUAAAGGAAAGACUAAAAGGUGGGAAAGGAACUCGGCAAACACAAGCCUCGCCUGUUUACCAAAAACAUCGCCUCCUGCAACUAAAUUGAGUAUAGGAGGUCCAGCCUGCCCAGUGACUACGGGUUCAACGGCCGCGGUAUUUUGACCGUGCAAAGGUAGCGCAAUCACUUGUCUCUUAAAUAGAGACCUGUAUGAAUGGCUAGACG